AUUGAACGCUGGCGGCAGGCCUAACACAUGCAAGUCGAACGGUAGCACAGAGAGCUUGCUCUCGGGUGACGAGUGGCGGACGGGUGAGUAACGUCUGGGAAACUGCCCGAUGGAGGGGGAUAACCACUGGAAACGGUAGCUAAUACCGCAUAACGUCGCAAGACCAAAGUGGGGGACCUUCGGGCCUCACACCAUCGGAUGUGCCCAGAUGGGAUUAGCUAGUAGGUGGGGUAAUGGCUCACCUAGGCGACGAUCCCUAGCUGGUCUGAGAGGAUGACCAGCCACACUGGAACUGGGACACGGUCCAGACUCCUACGGGAGGCAGCAGUGGGGAAUAUUGCACAAUGGGCGCAAGCCUGAUGCAGCCAUGCCGCGUGUAUGAAGAAGGCCUUCGGGUUGUAAAGUACUUUCAGCGGGGAGGAAGGCGGUGAAGUUAAUAACUUCACCGAUUGACGUUACCCGCAGAAGAAGCACCGGCUAACUCCGUGCCAGCCGCCGCAGUAA
rnacentral:rRNA from 1 species